rnacentral:rRNA from 1 species
CCAUACUCCUACGGGAGGCAGCAGCAGGGAAUAUUGCACAAUGGACGGAAGUCUGAUGCAGCGACGCCGCGUGAGUGAAGAAGGCCUUCGGGUUGUAAAACUCUUUUGAGGGGGAAGAGCCGAGGACGGUACCCCUGGAAUAAGCGUCGGCUAACUACGUGCCAGCAGCCGCGGUAAGACGUAGGACGCGAGCGUUAUCCGGAUUUACUGGGCGUAAAGCGUCUGUAGGCGGAUGUGUAAGUUGGGCGUGAAAGCUCCGGGCUUAACCCGGGAGAAGCCGUUCAAUACUGCAUAACUUGAGGGUGUCAGAGGGGAGCGGAAUUCCCGGUGUAGCGGUAAAAUGCGCAGAGAUCGGGAGGAACACCAGUGGCGGAGGCGGUUCCCUGGGGCACACCUGACGCUGAGAGACGAAAGCUAGGGGAGCGAACAGGAUUAGAGACCCUGGUAGUCCUAGCCCUAAACGAUGAAUGCUAGGUGUGGGAUCGAAUGGUUCCGUGCCGGAGCGAACGCGAUAAGCAUUCCGCCUGGGGAGUACGGCCGCAAGGUUAAAACUCAAACGAAUUGACGGGGCCCCGCACAAGCAGCGGAGCGUGUGGUUUAAUUCGAUGCUACACGAAGAACCUUACCUGGGUUUGACAUGUAGGUGGUAGUGAAUCGAAAGGUGAACGACCCUUCGGGGAGCCUACACAGGUGCUGCAUGGCUGUCGUCAGCUCGUGCCGUGAGGUGUCGGGUUAAGUCCCGUAACGAGCGCAACCCUUGCUCCUAGUUACAAGUGUCUAGGGGGACUGCCGGCGGAAAGCCGGAGGAAGGUGGGGAUGACGUCAAGUCAGCAUGGCCCUUAUAUCCAGGGCUACACACACGCUACAAUGGUCGGUACAAAGGGCAGCGAAACCGCGAGGCGGAGCGAAUCCGAGAAAAGCCGAUCGUAGUUCGGAUAGCAGGCUGCAACCCGCCUGCUUGAAGCUGGAGUUGCUAGUAACCGCGCGUCAGCCAUAGCGCGGUGAUACGUUCCCGGGGCUUGUACACACCGCCCGUCACGU